rnacentral:tRNA from 1 species
GCCGCUGUGGCUUAGUGGUAAAGCACCCCCCUUACUGUGAAAACAGGGCCAAGCGUGUAUUAUAGUUAGACUAGAUUAGAUGCUUUGACUAAGGGGAAGAUCCGGGUUUCGAAUACCCGCAGCGGCG